rnacentral:rRNA from 1 species
CCUACGGGCGGCAGCAGUAGGGAAUAUUGCUCAAUGGGGGAAACCCUGAAGCAGCAACGCCGCGUGAAGGAUGAAGGUUUUCGGAUUGUAAACCCCUUUUGUUAGAGAAGAUAAUGACGGUAUCUAACGAGUACGCACCGUCUAACUACGUUCCAGCAGCCGCGGUAAUACGUAGGGUGCAAGCGUUACUCGGAAGCACUGGGCGUAAAGAGCGCGUAGGCGGGUUAGCAAGUCAGAUGUGAAAUGCUAUGGCUUAACCAUAGAACUGCAUUUGAAACUGUUAUUCUAGAGUAUGGGAGAGGUAGGUGGAAUGCUUGGUGUAGGGGUAAAAUCCGUAGAGAUAAAGAGGAAUACUGAUUGCGAAGGCGACCUGCUAGAACAUAACUGACGCUGAUGCGCGAAAGCGUGGGGAGCAAACAGGAUUAGAUACCCUGGUAGUC